rnacentral:rRNA from 1 species
UACAGAGGUCCCGAGCGUUGUUCGGAUUCACUGGGCGUAAAGGGUGCGUAGGCGGCUUUGAAAGUCUGAUGUGAAAUCUCCGGGCCCAACCCGGAAAUGGCAUUAGAAACUGCAGGGCUAGAGGCUUGGAGGGGGAACUGGAAUGCUCGGUGUAGCAGUGAAAUGCGUAGAGAUCGAGCGGAACACCAGUGGCGAAGGCGAGUUCCUGGACAAGACCUGACGCUGAGGCACGAAAGCCGGGGGAGCAAACAGG